AAGUCGAACGAACGGAGGAAGAGCUUGCUCUUCCAAAGUUAGUGGCGGACGGGUGAGUAACACGUGGGCAACCUGCCUGUAAGUUGGGGAUAACUCCGGGAAACCGGGGCUAAUACCGAAUGAUAGAGUGUGGCGCAUGCCACGCUUUUGAAAGAUGGUUUCGGCUAUCGCUUACAGAUGGGCCCGCGGUGCAUUAGCUAGUUGGUAGGGGAAUGGCCUACCAAGGCAACGAUGCAUAGCCGACCUGAGAGGG
rnacentral:rRNA from 1 species